UAAACCUUUAUUUUCAUAGGAUGACAUAAUUAUUAACGCAAAUAAUAUUAUAAUGAAUGAAUGAAUUAAAUGGAAAAAAAAACCAAAAAUAAAAAAGAAGGCAUUAGGCAAUUACUUCUCAUUUCACGUGGAAAGACAAAUAGAAAGGGGAGAAGAUUAAAUCCCUAACCCUCAUCUCUCCUUCUUCUCCGGCAACGGUUGUAGGGAUGGAAGAAGCGGCGGCGGUCACGGUAGCAAUGGAAGCAAAACGAAGGUGAUUCCCUUCUCCGAUUCUGGAACAACAACAUGUGGAGGUGUCAAAGCUAAGAGGUCAUGGCUUUCUCUCCCUCUCUACCUCAAUCACGGCCAAAGAGGUUGAAACCUCUAACUCCAUUUUCUCAUUCUCUUUGACGAUGGUCGAGGGGCUAUAUGAUGGCAAGGGACAUGGCGGCGAAUUCAGUAAUGAACCCUUUCUCUAAUUUGUUGACAACUUGUUUAAAAAUGUGUUACUGCUUGUAUUGAAUAGUAAGCUGAAUUUAAGGUUCUGAAACCAUGUGUUGGUUGCUUCUGAUCCUUUACCUUUUAUGCUGGUAAUGUUCUUCAGUUAUUGAUAGAUUGUCAUCCCUUUUGGCUGAUCAGUGUCUUCUUUUAUGAUGGUUGCCCUCCUUUUGAGUAUCCCCUGAAUGUUUGUAUAUGUAGUGUUAUAGAUAUACAUGUUCUGAUGCGUAGAUAGAUAGUUGAGGCGGGUUGUCUAUUUUGUGCGCAUGUGAUAGAUUUGUAGCCUCUUGAUUUCUCUUUUUGGAUUGUUGGUACUUGUGUUUGAGUAUGUGUGUUUAUCUCUAUUGUGUUUCUGAUUGUGUGGUGGAGUGAUAUCUAUUCUCACCCCUUUUUGUGUUAUAUAAGAAUAUAUGUGGGUAUGAUAUGUGUAUGUUGGUAUAUGGAUGUGGGUUAAUCUUGGAUUGAAUAUGUGAGAGUAUAUAAACAAGACUAGGUGUUUGGUGGAUGGGAAGAUGAAUAAAAAAAAAGAUGAGAAAGAGUUUUCAUGAAGUUGGUUCUUCUUCAAGCCCAUUGAGUUUAAUGAAAACAAUUUCAGCCCACAAGAAGAUGAAAUGGAAAUAGAUACAUUGU